CGGCCCCGGUACAGUGGCGCACGGGUGAGUAACACGUGGGUAAUCUACCUUCGGAUGGGGGAUAACACUUCGAAAGGGGUGCUAAUACCGCAUAAGCUCACGACCUCUUCGGGGGUUGGGAGAAAAGCAGGCCUCUUCAUGAAAGCUUGUGUCUGAAGAUGAGCCCGCGGCCCAUCAGUUAGUUGGCAGGGUAAUGGCCUACCAAGACGAAGACGGGUAGCUGGUCUGAGAGGAUGAUCAGCCACACUGGAACUGAGACACGGUCCAGACUCCUACGGGAGGCAGCAGUGGGGAAUCUUGCGCAAUGGGCGAAAGCCUGACGCAGCGAUGCCGCGUGAGUGAUGAAGGCCUUCGGGUUGUAAAGCUCUGUGGGGAGAGAAGAAUAAGUCGUCGUGAAUAACGCCGAUGAUGACGGUAUCUCCUUAGCAAGCACCGGCUAACUCUGUGCCAGCAGCCGCGGUAAGACAGAGGGUGCAAACGUUGUUCGGAAUUACUGGGCGUAAAGCGUGUGUAGGCGGCCAUGUAAGUUGGAUGUGAAAGCCCGGGGCUCAACCUCGGAAGUGCAUUCAAUACUGCGUGGCUUGAGUAUCGGAGAGGUUGGUGGAAUUCUCGGUGUAGAGGUGAAAUUCGUAGAUAUCGAGAGGAACACCGGUGGCGAAGGCGGCCAACUGGACGAAUACUGACGCUGAGACACGAAAGCGUGGGAGCAAACAGGAUUAGAUACCCUGGUAGUCCACGCCGUAAACGAUGGGUGCUAGGUGUCACGGGCAUUGACUCCCGUGGUGCCGUAGCCAACGCAUUAAGCACCCCGCCUGGGAAGUACGGCCGCAAGGCUAAAACUCAAAGGAAUUGACGGGGGCCCGCACAAGCGG
rnacentral:rRNA from 1 species